rnacentral:sRNA from 1 species
GGCAGCUAGAGUGAUCUUUUUAAAAAUAAUAAUAAUUCAGACCAGUUACAGAUUCCUUUGUUCCUUCUCCACUCCCACUGCUCCACUUGACCAGCCUUUA